UCCCUGAUGAUCUAGUGGUCAGGAUUCAGCGCUCUCACUGCUGCAGCCUGGGUUCGAUUCCUGGUCAGGGAA
rfam:Poecilia formosa, whole genome shotgun sequence.